rnacentral:rRNA from 1 species
UCAGGCCUAACACAUGCAAGUCGAGCGGGGUUUUCGGACCUAGCGGCGGACGGGUGAGUAAUGCGUAGGAAGCUACCCGACAGAGGGGGAUACCAGUUGGAAACGACUGUUAAUACCGCAUAAUGUCUACGGACCAAAGUGUGGGACCUUCGGGCCACAUGCUGUCGGAUGCGCCUACGUGGGAUUAGCUAGUUGGUGAGGUAAUGGCUCACCAAGGCGACGAUCCCUAGCUGGUUUGAGAGGAUGAUCAGCCACACUGGAACUGAGACACGGUCCAGACUCCUACGGGAGGCAGCAGUGGGGAAUAUUGGACAAUGGGCGCAAGCCUGAUCCAGACAGUGCCGCGUGUGUGAAGAAGGCCUUCGGG